rnacentral:rRNA from 1 species
CAGCCGUAAACUAUGCUCGCUAGGUGUCAGGGACGGUGCGACCGUUUCUGGUGCCGCAGGGAAGCCGUGAAGCGAGCCACCUGGGAAGUACGGUCGCAAGGCUGAAACUUAAAGGAAUUGGCGGGGGAGCACUACAACGGGUGGAGACUGCGGUUUAAUUGGAUUCAACGCCGGAAAUCUUACCGGGACCGACAGCAACAUGAAGGCCAGGCUGAAGACUUUGCCGGAUUAGCUGAGAGGAGGUGCAUGGCGUAGUCGUGU